AAAGCUGGAAAGUAAAAGAAACAUAGGGGUAAUAAUGCGAGAUCCUUCUUACAGCCGUAAAGAAAAAUGGGACUGAAAAGGGUUAAAAAGGUUUGGUUAUAAAGAUGGGGAUGAGUUUUGAUUAGGGGAGACGUUGAAGAGGACAAUCUGAAAGGGAGAAAAUCUGAGAAAUUUUUUAAGCAAUCUCAAGCUUGAAAACAGAUUGAGAAUACAUACAUUAAAAGAGAGUUUUGGAGUCAGUAGUUUAGUGAUCCUUUAUCCAUGUUCAUAUUUCAGCACUUAAUAGAGGUUUAGCUCAUUUAGGAUCAGAAAUCAGUUGAAUCACCUAGUGCUGUUUGAUAUCUGAUGGUGUGAAAGUGGUAGGUGCUGGUUUUGGUUAUUCCAAGUUGACUGUGGGUUAUCUGUUGAGUGUGUGUUCAUUUCUGGGAAAUUUGUUGCUGUGUUGGGGGUUAAUAUACCAAUCCCGUUUGGUUUCAAACUCUUUCUGGGCUGUGAUUCAAGUUCCUAGGCUGUGCAUUUGCUACUGUUUGAUUAUCUCUUGGUCUGCUAUUGUACUGCUGCUGCUGAUCUCUUCUUAUGUUAAAACUCCAUUUCCAAGUACACGAAUCGAGACUCUAUGGCUGUAGCUUUACAUGAUUGAAACAUAAAAUCAAUGGAGAUUGACCAAAUGUCUUCUGUUGAUUUUAAUUGAUUCGUUGUCUGUGAUUUGAACUUAGACACUAGUUCAAUGUGUGGAAAAAAAUUAGUUUUGUAAUCAUAUGAACUAGAUUCGAAUAGAGCUGUUGUAUAAUUUGAACUACAAUUGGACUUUGUUAGCUAUCUUUUGGUACAAACUGUUAGGCAGUAUGAGAAUUUGUGUUCCUCAUUAACUGGGAAUUUGCAUGUUCGAUAGUUCUGUUAUUUUGAAAGUCUUUCUGUG
rnacentral:lncRNA from 1 species